AAAGGAUGCUCCAGAGAAAGCAAGAUCAAGAGAGGCCUGAACUCACUUUUAUAACAAGCCCAGUCUCAUGGUAACUGACCCACUCCCACAUUAGCAACAACAAUCCAUUCAUGAAGGCGGAGCCCUUGUGACCUAACCACCUCUUAUUAAGCCCCACCUUCCAACACUGUCACAUUGGGGAUUUAGUUUACAGCACAUGAACUUUGGGGGACACACUUAAACCAUAGUGCCGUCUUCAGUCUGAGAAGAAUUUCUGUCUUUCAUUGAAGUUCCAAAGGCUUCUUAUUUUGAUGACUUUGCCUAAAGAAGGGAUUCUACAGCCAAAUGCUUUCUUUUUAACAUACCGAAUGAGUAAAAGUGCAAAAUAAGUACAGAACUAUCAAACAGCAACAAAUGUGCUUCUGCUGCCUACCACAGAAUUUUCCUUGGUAAGAAGAAAACCCUACAUUACAUUUCUUUUUGGCUUCUGUCUCUGCAGCCUCAGAGUUGAUGAUGAAUGCAGUCCUGCUCCACUUUGAUUCCAUCUGGCUCUGGAAGGUGUUUCUGAAGAUUUGUGAACAGCAUUUGAAUUUGUUUGUUUUUAUUUAUAUUGUCUUUUUACUAUGAUGUAUAAAUAUGUCCUGUAAUGUCAUUGAUCUAUAUGAUGAGUGAGACAAUCAAGUGUUAAAAUGGAACUUGUUGAUUAGGAUAUUUAUACCAUAGUUUAGUUUUCUUAAGAAACUCUGACAGACACGAUAUUUAAAAUGACUAAAUUUACACUUUGACAUAAGGCUACUAAAAGGUAGAAUAUACCAUUGAGAUAUGCCACUUGAAAAAACUACUUUUAAAAAAAUGGCAUUACUGGUGUCAUGAAGAAAAGAAAUGCUUUUAUCUCAACCCUGGUUUCAAAAAUUUGUGUAAAAAUUUUCACCUCAAUAAAUAGUUUACUUCUGUGUAGAAAAGGAGACUUAUGCUUGCUGCCAAUUUCUUCACAAAGCAUGCUUAAAAGAUAAACACUUGGGGCCACAGUUUGAAUGUAUUAACUACUUCACCAACUAUUUUCUGGGGACAAAGCAAUGCAUAAAGGACAUUCAUCUUUAUCCAUGUAAAUAUUUUCUUGUUGAGCACAUACUGCUGUUCAUGUCUUUCUAGCCUAAAUCAUAGUUCACAGAAUAAUUGUUAACCACAUGGAAAACCUCCCCUAGCAUGGGGUUGGAGCCAUAAACUAGCCAAUAAGUCAUUGAGCACUUUUCUUUCAUAUAUUUCUGCAUAUUUCUGUCAAGCGCUGAUUGAUACUCUGCACACCUGAUUCUUUCCAAAUGUAAGCCAAGUAUCUGCUAGCAUGUACUCCUGAUAAGACAUUGUUCUUCUGUGCUGUAUGCCAUUAAUAUUAUAUGAUGUACAGUAGUUCACUUGGAUUAUGAAAUUGCCAGUAGCUAAUUAAAGUUUCUUCCUGAGCAUGGUAAUGAUCAUUAACCUUAGAGCUGGUUUCAGAAAUUUCUUAGUGAUAAUGUGACUUCUAUAUUUCUUUUUUUGAUGUGUAACUUUGAAUAAUGUUUAUUUAGUUUUAGUCUCUUCUCCAUCUUUAAAUGACAAAAUUUAUCAAUUUCAUAUUAGAAAGCAUUAUUUUGUGCUUGUUCAGGAAAAAUUCAAUUGGUUUAUCAGAAAGGUCACGGAACUAUGAAAGCAAUGCAAAAGCUCCUGUGGCUUCUUGCCAUUCUUUAACAAAGUUUUGUAACAGACAAUGCAAUAGAAACUAGAGGCAAAUUGAUUGCUGGUCUGAUAAAAUCCAAUUUUCACAUAUUCAUCAAGAUUCACUUGUUUUAGCAAAUACAGCUUCAUAUUUGAUAUUUGCAUUGAAUUCCUGUUCCCUGUUUACAUUUACAGUGUUGUUCUAUUUAUAUUACAAUUUUCGUCACUACUUUUAUACUUUACUUUUAAAUAACUGAUUUAUUUCUGUGAAUUGGCUAUCAUGACACAAUAAAAAGUCUAAAGCUGACAGAUGUAAAUGACAUUUAAAUGUGCAA
rnacentral:lncRNA from 10 species